AUUGAACGCUGGCGGCAUGCCUUACUCAUGCAAGUCGAACGGUAACGCGGGGGCAACCCUGGCGACGAGUGGCGAACGGGUGAGUAAUACAUCGGAACAUGUCCAGUAGCGGGGGAUAACCUGUCGAAAGAUAGGCUAAUACCGCAUACGAUCUACGGAUGAAAGCGGGGGACCGCAAGGCCUCGCACUAUUGGAGUGGCCGAUGUCGGAUUAGCUAGUUGGUGAGGUAAAAGCUCACCAAGGCGACGAUCCGUAGCUGGUCUGAGAGGACGAUCAGCCACACUGGAACUGAGACACGGGCCAGACUCCUACGGGAGGCAGCAGUGGGGAAUUUUGGACAAUGGGCGCAAGCCUGAUCCAGCCAUGCCGCGUGAGUGAAGAAGGCCUUCGGGUUGUAAAGCUCUUUCGGUGAAGACGAAACGGUUAGCGUUAAUAGCGCUGACUAAUGACGGUACUCACAGAAGAAGCACCGGCUAACUACGUGCCAGCAGCCGCGGUAA
rnacentral:rRNA from 1 species